rnacentral:lncRNA from 1 species
CAAGGGAUAUUUGUGUGCUAGUUGACCAGGUUCAAUGUUUAAAUUGGGGCUGGGUGCUGGUGUUGUAUGAGGGCAUGUGAGCCACGUAGGCUAGCUGAUAUGUUGCUGGCACCAUGGGAGGACACCUUAGCUGCAUGUCAAACAUGUCAGGAACACCUUGCCCCAUAUUCAAGUAUUUAUAGGGCAUGGUCCAGUAAAGAAUACUCCUUGCCCUCGAGCUCUAACCAAUAACCACUGCAAGGGUGAAGUUGUUCUAGUGUUCCAGCCAGUGUUAAUCCUCUCCCUUACUGCAGAGUUAAGUUGUUCCUGAGCUGAGUGUCAACCUCCUGUGUGGUGACCAGGGUCAUCCAAGUGCCCACCUCGCCGCGGUCAAGCAAUCACAAGCGAUUCCCCAGCUGUACAGUGCAUGUUUCGUGUUCUCCUUAGGUCAGUGAAGCUCACACCAUUUACUGCUUGAACUCUACCACUAUUGGUUGCCUGGAACUAGGUGUGAAAUUUGCUCAAACAUAGGCUGUCAGGUUUCUGGAUCCUAGACUUAGUGCAUAAGGCUGAAACUAGGUUUUAGUGUGUUCAGCUCCAUUUUGGUGCUUCAUAAAAAUUGUUCUGAAUGUUUUCAACCUAGGGGUACUAUACCAAAGUAGUAGAGCUAUAUCUAAGGAAUAACUUUGGUUAUGUGAGCUUGGUCUGUUGCUUUGUAAAAAUUGGAGAAAAGGGUUGGCUAAAGUUUGUCUGUCAGGCUGGACACAUAACUGAAUUUUUAUUCAGUUCUGAAAACUGAAUUGCAGCAGGAUGCCUAGUUUGGAAUUCAUUUGUGACUGAUUCAUGGGGUAUUGGAUUAAAGUUUCCAUAGCAAAGCUGGAGACCAUAGUAAAGAUAGCAAGUUUUAUAAAGUGAGGUGGACUUGGUUCCACAUAAUUUUGGAAGUAAAAGUGGCCAAAAGGUGGACUGUCAGGUGUUAGGAUUCAGACUUAGAAUAAUAUUUAAGUCUGAAUUUGUGUGUUUUUAUUCAAUUUGGGUCCUUGUGGUAAUUAAUCCAAGAAGAAUUGGGGUAGGAAUGUUAUAGCAAAGUGAAAGACCAUGUUAUAAGGAACAAAUCCCUUUAAGCAAGUUAGGCUUGAAUCCACAUAAAGUAGGAAAUAACAGCUGUCCAAAACUAGACUGCCAGAGUGAUUGUGACUGAAUUUUAUUCAGCUUAGUGCUUUGGAAAGGAGAUAAGUUUAUCUAGGGAAGAUAUAAAGUUGCUUAAGAAGUUUUAAGCUUUUGGAUGAGAUAUAAGUUGGAUUAAUUCCCUGGUUUACCUAAGUGAAUUCAAAUUGGUCACUUUAAUCGAGCGUUAAGAAAUAGGUGUAUUCUUGUCAUGUGCUUUAGUUGUAGUGUUUCUGUUCCCCACCUCUUCUUGUGAGAGUUUGCAUUACAUGUCAUUAGAUAAGCAUUAUGUAUUUGUAAUUGACUUGUAGAACACCUAAACGAGGUGGUAUUUGAAGAAGUCUACUCCAAUGCCUGCUCCUCAAGUGGAUGAAGCCAUCUAACUGGGUAUUGGAUAGAGGGAUCUAGAACCACUUCACUGCAACAAAGGCAAGCCCUGGUGCAUGCAACCCCUUCCUUGUGUUUUUAAAUUAUUUUUACACACUUUAAGUCUAGUGAAUGUGCAUUAGGUUUAUAGGAGUUGCUUGGAAACCCUUUGAUGCAUUGUCUUCCUUGAUAUCCAUACCUUUAUAGAUACUUCUGGUGAAGUAUCAAAAUAUGAUUUAUAAAAAUGCUUAGCCCUGCUUAGAUCUUGUGGAUAGAAGUUGUCUUUCGCAAUAAGGCCUAGCUCAGGGGUUAUCCUGAGGAAAGAUGGCUUCUACCUGCAAGAAUAUUUUCAUUGAGAGCGUGGUGGGAUCUUACUAUAAAGUUCCCUUUGAUGCUCUUUUCAUCCUAAGGAAUACAAACAAUCCUAAGGGUGGAAGUACUUAAAUCGGGACUUGGGCUAGGAACAGGUGAUGCUCCGCCCAGAUUAAUUAAUGAUUGGAUGCGUAUGUAGGCCUGUUGAUCAAGGACUAUCUUAACUAGCCACAUGCCCUGGAAAUGGGACAGGAUAAGCUUGAACCCGACUAUUCCAUACGUGAAAAGACAACCGCGCACUAGGCGUGGGAGAUGGUGGGAGUAGCGUGUACCCUCCUGGCUAAAGGCAGGAUGGAGGAGUACUGUGCUCCCGGGUAGCGCGGACCCGUUCACGUUGUGGAGGAUCUGUGGGAACGGUUGACAUAUGCAAGGGUUAAGUGCUACAUAUGUCGUGUGGUUAGAGAUCCUCAGCUGAGUAAAUCGAUUCGGAUCGCCGUUAUAUCCCCGGAGAGUGGAGACUUGAUCUCCGACCUGCAACCUAAGUCAGGAUGUGAACCUCAUGAAUAAAAAUGAUGUUGUAUUGAUGAGAUGGUGAAAUUAGACUAGAUGCAAACAGAGUCUAUUAAUAUUUAAUCUGGCGUUAAAAUAUUGAAAGUAAGGACUCACUUUAGUAAGCUAUUUCUGCAAAAGUAUCUAAGUUGAUUCUUGCUAAAGCCUCUCCUUGGUUCCCAAAUCCAGCAUAUCCUUGAGAGUCUUUUCUUUAGUCGGGUAAGUCUUGCUGAGUAAUUCUAUACUCAGGGUUUUAUUCCCUGUUGUUUUUCAUAAUAUAACUUUGUGCUGCUGUGAUGGUGUUAAGUGCCGGUGGGCUCGGCCUUCUUAUAUAAGUAUACCCCGUCUUUAUCUUCUUACUGAGGAUGGUCAUUUGAGCUAGCAUAUAUUUCAAACUUAUACUCUUGUAAUCACUCCGAUAAAAUAUUGUAAAAUUUUUGUAACCUGUAAAAUUUGGUAAUAAAAUUUCCGCUGCUAAAAUGUUGUGUGUGUGAUUUUUUGUUACUUAAUCCCGCGGUUCUGGUUGUAAGUGGUUUAUCCGAUGUCCUUGGGGCAAUCGGAUGGAUCCUGUUAAGUUAUCUGGUGCACAUGCAUGCCGUCUGAGGUCUUUGAGAUGAGGACAGGUGCAUGUGGGCCCGAUACCUUGGGAGGUUCUGCCACACCUAACUUGUCAAUACAUUCAAAUAUGCUUAGGAGACCCAAAUUUGACUCUUGUGCUAGAAAGGUGAUGAGUUCACCACAUUCUAGGACCAAGGCUAUUUGGGUGCCUAAGUCCUUAUUGGCUAACCUUGAUGGACCUAUCAUGAGAUGGGUACCAAAAUGUACUUAAUAAGUUUUGCAGGUACCCAGAGAUGAUAUGAAUCUUUGGGGUGCUUGAGCGGUUCAACUCAAUUCUUAUCUCAAGCUAUCAAUCUUACAUUAUCUAUCCUUUAAGAUUAACCCAAAGAUGAAUUGAGUUGUUAUUUCACUAACUUCAUAUUCAUCUCUAGCAAGAACUUGUGUUGUAGGGAAUAAGGAUUAACCUUUGUGGGAAUCAAGCAAAAGGCCUACAACCAAGUGAUAUCCAAAGGAUGGUAACAAUUAAUUCUUAAGUGCACAUUGCUUUUAAUUGGUAUAUUCCUUUGUGUCUUUUGUAGCCACAUAGGAAAAAUGAAGCACUUGAGAAUGAACUUAAAAGAUUUUACCUUGCUUUGGAAAGGAUCUAAUUAUAUGGUAGAUUGCAAGUUCAUAUUUUAUAUUGUGACAAUCUACAUGCUUUAAAUUGAUUGUAUGUAUCUUGUGGCAUAUUUCAAGUUAAUCAUCAUAUUAUUGCCAUGACCUAGACAUAAAGAGUGUUAUCCCAUGUUCUUAAAUGAAUAGAGUGCUAAGUAAGAAAUUCAAAUUCUUAUAGCACUUACCAAAUGGGGAAUUCUCUAUAUGACUAGAGUUGUGAGACUAAUGUUUCUAUCUAAGUGUUUAUGUAGUCUCACAACAUGAGAAUGUGUUUCCCAAAUGAAGUGUGCCAUUCAACAUUCAAAGAAGAUCGAACCAAUACUAUGUGAUGUAUUCAUUCUUGUUUAAAUUGGUUUUGAGUCUUCUCCAUUAAUCACUCACCAUGCUAUGAAUUAAACUUGCCAUAUAAACUUAAUUAAAUAAUCAUGCUACUUUCAUCUUUUUUACAAUUGAUGUUAUGCAUGAUGCUUGUAAGGGUAAUUUAGUUCAUAUCAUGAGGUUUCCUUGUUUUAGUAACCUUCUUAUCAUUCAUAUACUAGAGGUUGCUAAAUAGGAAACUAUUGCUUGUGUUACUAAUACAAUCUCUUUUAAGAUAUUUCAUGGAAAUUCAUAAGUAGAGAUUGUGCUCUUUCAAUUUGUCGGCGUUUUGACCCCGGGGGGUCCCUAGACCGACGAGUAAAUUGUCGCUGCGUGCCCCAACCCAGAUGGGUCGACGCGAGACGGAACACAAGGAGGGGAAAACCGCGACUUCGUGUUGUCCUGCUCCCAGGGUGGAUGCGCUUGUAGUAGGGGGUUACAAGCGUUCACGAGGGAGAGAGAGAGAGCCUAUCCGUCAGCCCGUCCUCCCGCGCGGCCACCUCUUCGUACGAGGGUCCUGGACCUUCCUUUUAUAGAUGUAAGGAGAGGGUCCAGGUGUACAAUGGGGGGUGUAGCAAUAUGCUAACGUGUCCGGCAGAGAGGAGCCAGAGCCCUAUGUACAUGCUGACGUGGCUGUCGGAGAGGUGUUAGUGCCCUGUGCAUGUGAUGUCGUGGCCGUCGGAGGAGCGCUUGAGCCCUGUAGAAGCACAGAUGUCGGGGCUGUUGGGACCUUGCUGACGUCUCCUUGCUUCCAUAGGGGGCUGAGAACCGCCGUCGUCAUGGGAGCACGUGGGGGCCAUCAUUACUUGUUUACCGGGGCGAGCCAGAUGGGACACCGGUCUUCUUCCCCGUAGCCUGAGCUAGCUAGGGGUAGGGUAAUGAUUUACCCCCCUGUAGCGUGGUCGGUCCAAGCCCAAGGUCGGGCGAGGCGGUGACUCCUCCGAGGUCGAGGUUGAGGCCGAGCCCUAGGGUCGGGCGAGGCGGAGACCGUCUUCCGAGGUCGAGGCGGGGGCCGAGUCCUGGGGUCGGGCGAGGCGGAGACCGUCUUCCGAGGUCGAGGCGGGGGCCGAGCCCUAGGGUUGGGCAAGGCGGAACUUCCUAUGGCACCUGAGGCUGGACUUGGCUGCUGUCAGCCUCACCCUGGCGGGUGGCACAGCAGUCGGAGCAGGGCAGGCAUCGCUGUUUUCCUGUCAGGUCAGUCAGUGGAGGGGCGAAGUGACUGCAGUCACUUCGGCCCUGCCGACUGAGGAACGCGCGUCAGGAUAAGGUGUCAGGCGAUCCUUGCAUUGAAUGCUCCUGCGAUACGAUCGGUUGGCGAGGCGAUCUGGCCAAGGUUGCUUCACUACGAAGCCUGCCCGAGCUGGGCCUCGGGCGAGUCGAGGGUGCGCCCGUUGCUUGAGGAGGCCCUCGGGCGAGGCGUGAAUCCGCUUGGGUCUACUGUUCCUGCCCGAGGCUGGGCUCGAGCGAGGCGAGAUCGUGUCCCUUGAGUGGACGGAGCCUUGACCUGAAUUGCGCCCAUCAGGCUUUUGUAGCUUGUGCUGAUGGUGAUUACCAGCCGAGUUUAGGAGUCUUGGGGGUACCCCUAAUUAUGGUCCCCGACAGUAGCCCCCGAGCCUCAAAGGGAGUGUUGGCACUCGCUUGGAGGCUUUGUCGCACUUUUUUGCAAGGGGACCGGCCUUUCUCGGUUACAUUUUGUUCCGGUGGGCGCGCGCGAGCGCACCCGCCGGGUGUAGCCCCCGAGGCCUUGGAGGAGUGGUUUGACUCCUCCGAGGUCUUAAUGCCUUUUGUGACGCCUCGACCGGUCUGGUUGUUCCCUCAUGCGAUCUGAUCGUAGCCCGGGUGCAUGGUCAGGUUCCAAGUUCUCGGGCUAGUAUGUUGACGCUGUCAACGGUUUGGCCGGAGUCGGGUUUGUGAGAGCAGCCCCCGAGCCUCUGCACAGAGUGAGAGGACGGUCAAGGACUGACUUGGCUUUUAUCAUACGCCCCUUCGUCGCCUUUCCGCAAGGAGGAGGGGGGGAAAGCACCAUGUUUCCCUUGGAGGGCGCCGAACAUGGUGUCUGCAGUGAGUUGCUAACGGGUGAUCCGAGUGGACGCAUGUGCCCCGUUCGAUAAGGGUCGGCUAGUGGCCCAGAGGCGCGCUCCAAAAGUACCUGCAGAUGAUUUGCCGGACCCGAUCCCGUUUGAUAGGGUUCGAGGGCUCGAUGCCUCCCUCUGAUGGGAUUCCGUUACAUAAUCGCUCCUGCUGGUCUCAGAAAUGUCCUAGGGUACCUCGGGAGCGUAGCCCGAGCCUCGGCCAUGUAUCGGACGUACCUAGAGUCAUCCCUCGCUCUGCGUGUUCUGGGGCGGCUUUCGAACCCUUCAGGGGGCCAGCCUUCGAACCCCUGAUCAGUAGUGGGCGCGGAGCCCGAGUGCUCUGAGGCGGCUAUCGAACCCUUCCGAGGGGCCAGCCUUCGAACCUCUGAUCAGUAAUGAGCCUGAAGUCCGAGUGCUCUGGGGCAGCUGUCGAACCCUUCCGAGGGGCCAGCCUUCGAACCCCUGAUCAGUAGGAGGGCUCGGGGCCCGCUUCCUUCGCGGAGAAGGAUCCCUUCCGGAGUAUCCCCUUUCCCGAUCACUGUAGCAAGAGAGAGAAAGGGGAAGGAGAAAAUGAUACGAAUUUAAAUGAUAUGGCGCACCUUUUUUGACGCGGUCAUCAUGGCGGAGGUGAAAUGUCGCCCGCUUCACCUGCCAAAGGUGUCGCCUGCCCUGCCGCGAAGUUAAUGCGACGGGACGGUUGGUUCGCGGGGCAGCCAUUGUGCAUGCGUGAGUUGUUCGAGGGACGGAACACGGGCGCGUCGUCUUCACGCCGUGGGAGAGGGCUCCCCUGCUGUUCCAGGAGGGGACGUGAGCCUGCGGACAAUUUGACUGCUGCUUCCGCCCGCCUGCUGCCGCCAUUACUGCCGGCCCACUUUUGGCAAUAUUGACCGUCGCGCCUUCUCCCGCGGCUGACUGACCCGUGACCGAUGCGCUUGGUUGGCACUUGUUGGGCCAUGCGCGGGGUUGCCUCGAGUCGCGGCACCGGUUCCGUAGUCGAGAAGGCACGACAUUGGCGUAAGUGGCGGUGCAGUUUUUCGCACGUAGUAACCGGCGCGCCGAUUACAUGACGUGUGGGCCUGGGCCUCCAUGCUGGAUGCGUCGAAGUCGAAAGGGUGCGUCUCCAUGGUGCAGUUGCAUGCCACCUGCAUGGCGGUCCGCCCUUUCACCCGCUGGUUUAAGCGAAGAUGGAGGAGUGCUUGUAACCGCUGGGCGGUUACACGCUCCGCGCGCGACGAUUUGGCUUCUCCUGUCCCGGGCCAGCUUGCAUGACGUGUGGGACCCAGCCCCCGUGUCAUAGGGGGAGGACCCUGGAGCGCGUUGGUGAAGACUUAGUCCGCGACGCCUGAGGACGCGAGUGGGGAGAGUCGCCUUUAAAAAGGGAUCGACCCCCCUGGGUGGUAGCCACGCCUUCGCACUCCCCUCAUGCAUUGCGCCCUUCCACCUUCCGAGCCCCCGGAUGGGGAGCGCCCGCGUUGCUUUCGUCUUGCUGCUGUUGGAGGAGCACAACUUCGUGGAGGUUGGCACCUUUCAGCCAUUGCUCGGCUUCAAGGAUUUUCAUCAGGCAGCCCGGCUGCAUUCCCUCACCAAUGGUCACGUAGGAUGGUGACCAUCGGUUUGAUGGUGGAGAGAAGCAAGCCGGGCUGUGGCCUCUGCCCCGCCCUCAGCUUCAAGGAUCUUCAUCAUCCUUGCUGGGGCGGGGAGCGAGGCGAGGCGGGGCCUACCUUCGCGUGGGCUGGCGUCCCGCUUCUUCCUCUGGCAUCUGGGGGUGGAAACCAUCCUCUAGCUCUGCGGAGGAGGCGUCCUCCAGCCAUGCGGGGGAAGGCGAACUGCUGCUGCCCGGCCAGGGUGCAGCAUUCCGUCCUCUACCCGGGCGACUGUGGCCGGCUGUACCGGAGGGUCUCACAACACGUCGUACGCCGCGAGGGCGGUACUCGUGUUCUGGGACGGUCCCAUUCUCGUUUUCGUGGCGAGGACGGGAGUGAGGACCUACCGGUGCGCUUUGGGGCGGCCUGCGCUCGUUGGUGCGGUGUUGGUCGGUAGGUGGACGCCGCCGUCAGUGCUGAGGUGGUGGCAGCCGGAGAAGGUUUCUCUGCCAACGAGAUCGUCGGCGCCAUCUACGCUCCGGGCCUCCGGCUCUUUGGCUUUAAUGUCUGGUUCUCGUCCUCCACGAGGGGAAGCGAACGAGAGCCUUCCAGCGGUAGCGUUCGCCUUGGGACCAUCGCUGCUGCUGCAGAGGUCGCCGGCGAGUCACCCGGAGUUUGUCGUCCCGCAGGCCCUCUGAUGUGGGGGUUGUUCAUACCCGCGGGAGUGGAACCAAAGUUCUAUUUGUAAUGGCACCUUGAGUGCCGGUGUCUGUUCAUUGUGGCUGUCGGGGCCUGAACAUCUAGGUAUUUGAGUGCAAUACCGUGUUUCUUCCUUAUUUCGAGCGCCAGGACUUGCCUGUCGGCUAGCUGAACCGCUUAACCAAGUGUGAGUUGCCCUGUGCGGAAGGUGACGAGUGAGGUAUCCGUAUCCCGGAGGCAUAGGAGUCCCUCGGCUCGGUCGGCCUUGCCACCCAAGGCUUCUCUUGCUCAGUUAAAGAAACCCUCGGCCGCUCUGCGAUGAGCCGGAGCCAGAGGCAGCGGUGUCAGCGUGGACAGAGGCAGAGUCGGCUCAAGAAGAAACUUCGUCGGCCCAGGAGCAGGUGACUUCCCAGGCCGAGGAGGCAUAGCAGCGGCGGCUGGAACCUGGCCAGGUCAUCCACUGGCGAGACCAACCCCGGAGUUGGGCUGCCGAGGGCAUGAGCCGGGCUGAUGUCCUCGGGGGACAGCUGGCUGCGGCUACGGAGCGGCCAGCCGAGCCAUCUGCUCGGGCCGGGUUCCUGGAGGAGACCUUGGCGGCGAUGGCCCAGGCGCAGUGCUGACAUCUUCCUUCGAGGUGGAGAUCCUCCGCCUGUGUCGCCGUCCGAGGCCGGGCCAGAUUCCGUCGAAGGUGGAGACGACGCCGAGGGUGCUGCUGCUCCCUCUGUUGAUGUCUGAACCUGCAGGAACAGUUUGUCUGUAGUACGUGUAUGUUUUUUGCGGCCGCCGAGGCCCAAACAUAUCAUUGUCGUGUUAUAAAGCUGUGUUUCUUUUCCUCUUGUUUCGAGUAUCAGGACUUGUUUGUUGGUAGCAGAAUCGCUUAUCCGAGCGAGAGUUACUUAUCGUGGAAGGUGAUGAGUGAGGUAUCCAUAUCUCGGAGGCGUAGGAGUCCCUCGGCUCGGUCGGCCUCGCCGCUUACGUGUACUCUUAUUUGUCCGUAGGAUUCUGUUAUCGAUAUAGUCGAGAAGGCACGAAAAAUCAUUUUGGCAGAAAAGUUUUCGAGCGUUAAGACUUGUUCGGUCAGCAGAAUCGCUUAUCCGAGCACGAGUUACUUAUCGCAGAAGGUGAUGAGUGAGGUAUCCGUAUCCCGGAGGCGUAGGAGUCCCUCGGCUCGGUCGGCUGUGCCGCUUACGUGUACUCCGUCGUUUUCAGGAUCCCACUAUCGAAGUAGUCGAAAAGCGCGAAAGAUGUUCUGGCAGAAAGACUUUUUCCGAGGAAAAUUUUGACGCAGAGGGGGUUCCCCCCUUCUAGCCCCCGAGGGAGGGUCGGGCUUUGCCGAGGCAAGGCGGACCCUUCCUUAAUGGUUAGACUCUAUUUGUGUAUGUAAAGAGGACGAGGUAUAUGAACGACUUGAAAACAUCUUAAGGGUAAAAGCGACGUAGCUGUCGGAUGUUCCAAGCGUUGCUGUAGACCUCGCCCUGACUGUUGGCCAGCUUGUAUGUUCCGGGCUUCGAAAUCUUGGCGAUGAUGAACGGCCCUUCCCAGGGAGGAGUGAGCUUGUGGCGCCUGAAAGUCGCCUAGAGGGGGGGUGAAUAGGGCGAAUCUGAAAUUUACAAACUUAAGUACAACUACAAGCCGGGUUAGCGUUAGAAAUAAGAACGAGUCUGAGAGAGAGGGCGCAAAACAAAUCGUGAGCAAAUAAAGAGUGAGACACGAAGAUUUGUUUUACCGAGGUUCGGUUCUUGUAAACCUACUCCCCGUUGAGGUGGUCACGAAGACCGGGUCUCUUUCAACCCUUUCCCUCUCUCAAACGGUCACUUAGACCGAGUGAGCUUCUCUUCUCAAUCAAACGGGACACAAAGUCCCCGCAAGGAUCACCACACAAUUGGUGUCUCUUGCCUUGGUUACAAUUGAGUUGAUCGCAAGAAGAAUGAGAAAGAAAAGAAGCAAUCCAAGCGCAAGAGCUCAAAUGAACACAACAAAUCUCUCUCUCUAAUCACUAAAGCUUUGUGUGGAGUUGGGAGAGGAUUUGAUCUCUUUGGUGUGUCUUGUAAUGAAUGCUAUACCUCUUGUAAGGUGUAGAAGUGUAGAAACUUGGAUGCCAUUGAAUGUGGGGUGGUUAAGGUAUUUAUAGCCCCAACCACCAAAAAUGGCCGUUGGAAGUGUGCUGUCGCAUGGCGCACCGGACAGUCCGGUGCGCCACCGGACACUAUCCGGUGCGCCAGCCACGUCACCAGAUCGUUGGGGUUUGACCAUUGGAGCUCUGACUUGUGGGGCCUCUGGGCUGUCCGGUGGUGCACCGGACAGGUCCUGUAGAUUGUCCAGUGCGCCAACUGCGCGUGCUCUGACUCUGGCGCGCACUGUAGCGCAUUGAAUGCGGUUGCAGACGACCGUUGCGCGCGAAGUAGCCGUUGCUCCGCUGGCACACCGGACAGUCCGGUGAAUUAUAGCGGAGCGCCCUCUGAGUUUCCCGAAGGUAGCGAGUUCAGUUUCAAGUGCCCUGGUGCACCGGACACUGUUCGGUGGCACACCGGACAGUCCGGUGUGCCAUACCAGGGUGCCUUUGGGUUGUCCUUUGCUCUCUUUGUUUGAACCCUUUUCUUGGUCUUUUUAUUGGCUAAUUGUGAACCUUUGGCACCUGUAAAACUUAUAGACUAGAGCAAACUAGUUAGUUCAAUUAUUUGUGUUGGGUAAUUCAACCACCAAAAUCAAUUAGGAAAUAGGUGUAAGCCUAAUUCCCUUUCAAUCUCCCCCUUUUUGGUGAUUGAUGCCAACACAAACCAAAGCAAGUAUAGAAGUGCAUAAUUGAACUAGUUUGCAUAAUGUAAGUGCAAAGGUUUCUUAGAAUUGAACCAAUAUAAAUUCUCAUAGGAUAUGCAUGGAUUGUUUCUUUAUUUUUAACAUUUUGGACCACGCUUGCACCACACAUUUUGUUUUUGCAAAUUCUUUUUAAAGUCCUUUUGCAAAUAGUCAAGGUAAAUGAGUAAGAUUUUUAGAAGCAUUUUCAAGAUUUGAAAUUUUCUCCCCCUGUUUCAAAUGCUUUUCUUUUGACUAAAACAAAACUCCCCCUUAAUAAAAUCCUCCUCUUAGUGUUCAAGAGGGUUUUAAGAUACAUUUUGAAAAUACUACUUUCUUUCCCUUUUGAACAUAAUAAGAUACCAAUUUGAAAAACUCUUUUUAAAAUAAGGUGGUGGUGGUGCGGUCCUUUUGCUUUGGGCUAUUACUUUCUCCCCCUUUGGCAUGAAUCGCCAAAAACGGAUACUUGAGUGAAAUAUAAGCCCUUUUUGCCUACUUUCUCCCCCUUUGGUAAAUAACAUAUGAGUGAAGAUUAUACCAAAGACGAAGAGUUGCUCGAAGCGACGACGAAGGAUGAGUUAUGGAGUGGAGUGGAAGCCUUUGUCUUCGCCGAAGACUCCAAUUCCCUUUCAAUACACCUAUGACUUGGUUUGAAAUUUACUUGAAAACACAUUAGUCAUAGCAUAUAAAAGAGAUAUGAUCAAAGGUAUAUUAAUGAGCUAUGUAUGCAAGAUAUCAAAAGAAAUUCCGAGAAUCAAGAAUAUUUAGCUCAUGCCAAAGUUUGUUAAAGGUUUGUUCAUCUAGUGGCUUGGUAAAGAUAUCAGCUAAUUGGUCUUUAGUGUUAAUAUAAGCAAUCUCGAUAUCCCCCUUUUGUUGGUGAUCCCUAAGAAAAUGAUACCGAAUGGCUAUGUGUUUAGUGCGGCUAUGUUCAACAGGAUUAUCCGCCAUGCGGAUUGCACUCUCAUUAUCACAUAGAAGAGGAACUUUGGUUAAUUUGUAACCAUAGCCCUAAGGGUUUGCCUCAUCCAAAGCAAUUGCGCGCAACAAUGGCCUGCGACAAUGUACUCGGCUUCGGCGGUAGAAAGAGCUACGGAAUUCUGCUUCUUUGAAGCCCAAGACACCAAGGAUCUUCCCAAGAACUGGCAAGUCCCCGAUGUGCUCUUCCUAUUAAUUUUACACCCCGCCCAAUCGGCAUCCGAAUAACCAAUUAAAUCAAAUGUGGAUCCCCGAGGGUACCAAAGCCCAAACUUAGGAGUAUAAACUAAAUAUCUCAAGAUUCGUUUUACGGCCGUAAGGUGAGCUUCCUUAGGGUCGGCUUGGAAUCUUGCACACAUGCAUACGAAAAGCAUUAUGUCCGGUCGAGAUGCACAUAAAUAGAGUAAAGAACCUAUCAUCGACCGGUAUACCGUUUGAUCGACGAAUUUACCUCCCGUGUUGAGGUCAGGAUGCCCAUUGGUUCCCAUGGGUGUCUUGAUGGGCUUGGCAUCCUUCAUCCCAAACUUGUUUAGAAUGUCUUGAAUGUACUUCGUUUGGCUAAUGAAGGUGCCCCCUUGGAGUUGCUUCACUUGAAAUCCUAAGAAGUACUUCAACUCCCCCAUCAUAGACAUCUCGAAUUUCUGUGUCAUGAUCCUACUAAAUUCCUCACAUGUAGAUUCGUUAGUAGACCCAAAUAUAAUAUCAUCAACAUAAAUUUGGCAUACAAACAAAUCAUUGUCAAGAGUUUUAGUGAAUAAAGUAGGAUCAACCUUUCCGACUUUGAAGCCAUUAGUGAUAAGAAAAUCUCUUAGGCAUUCAUACCAUGCUCUUGGGGCUUGCUUGAGCCCAUAAAGCGCCUUAGAGAGUUUAUAUACAUGGUUAGGGUACUCACUAUCUUCAAAGCCAGGAGGUUUCUCAACAUAGACCUCCUCCUUGAUUGGUCCAUUGAGGAAGGCACUUUUCAUGUCCAUUUGAUAAAGCUUCAAGCCAUGGUAAGUAGCAUAGGCAAGUAAAAUGCGAAUUGACUCAAGCCUAGCUACGGGUGCAUAGGUUUCACCGAAAUCCAAACCUUUGACUUGUGAAUACCCCUUGGCCACAAGUCGGGCUUUGUUCCUUGUCACCACACCAUGCUCAUCUUGCUUGUUGCGGAAGACCCACUUGGUUCCUACAAUAUUUUGAUUAGGACGUGGAACUAAAUGCCAUACCUCGUUCCUAGUGAAAUUGUUGAGCUCCUCUUGCAUCGCCACAACCUAAUUCGAAUCUUGUAAUGCUUCCUCUACCCUAUGUGGCUCAAUAGAGGAAACAAAAGAGUAAUGUUCACAAAAAUGUGCAACACGAGAUCUAGUGGUUAUCCCCUUAUGAAUGUCGCCGAGGAUGGUGUCGACGGGGUGAUCUCGUUGGAUUGCUUGGUGGACUCUUGGGUGUGGUGGUUUUGAAACUUGUUCAUCUUCCUCAUCUUGAUCAUGGGCAUCUCCCCCUUGAUCAUUGCUCUCCUCUGGAGGUGGCUCAACAUUUUGAUUUUCUCCUUCAUCAUUUUGAGCUCCAUCCUUGUUGGGGGCCUUCGGCUUCCGAAGGUCCUCAAAAACAUGAUUUGACAAUGUUUUCCAAGUAUGCGAGCAGGCAUCUUCAGAAUCAGGUUACGGGUAUACAAGAGCAUGGUCAAGACGAAGCUUGACUGGGAUGGAAGGCGAUCAUGACGAAGGAUGAGAUGAUCACGAAGCUAUAUGCAGAAAAGCUUCGGCAUGACAGCAGAAAAAGGAAACCGACUUAAAGAUGAAAAGCCAAAUUAGACCUCGAAGAAUUACUAGAGUUAUUGAUAAAUGUAAAGGGCAUUAAUGUAAUUUUACACGGGCUGCGUCCCGUGCCUAUAAAUAGAUGAACAGUAUUCCUGUACUGUUCACGCUGACUGGGCAUUCGCUUUAGCAUCACACUUGUACCCUUACUUUCCUUCAAGUCGAAGGUACAUUUGUAAUUUGUCGUUGUUUAUACAAGUAAUAUAAUAAAAGGAAUUAAUAAUAAUGUUCAAAUUAAUCAUGUUAUUUUCCGUGUUUUGUGUAUAAAUCUCUCUCAUCUUUUAUUAUGAUUAUGAAGGUGUGACCUUCAUAACCUUCGUCCGAAAUUCAUUAUAUCCGAAGGGAAAUAAUGCUUCGAAGGACGAAGGGCUUUGAUAUUUAACAUUUUAUGUUGCCUUGUUCUUAAUUCAUAGCAUUUGAGAACAAGUCUCCAACAUUGGCGCCCACCUCCGGUGAACUCACUUCCAUUUCUUGAGCUUUGAACAUCUUCGGCAAGCAUCACCUUCGUCAUGCCGCCGAAAAAAGCUUCAGCGACAGGGGCUGCCACUCUGCAGCCGCUGGACCCCAAUCAGGACGUCCUUUGUCUUAGGGAGGCCCGAAGCCAGAAGAGGAAGGCCACCAGUCCAAAGCCUCCGGAGGACGACUUGGACCAGGAAAUCCAAAACCUGGAGAUGCUCCAUCAACAGGUGCAACGAAAGGAGAAGAUGGCUCGUCUAGCUGACCUUCAGAGGCAGAUAGAUGAAGCUUCAGAAGAGGUUCGUCAUCUUGCUCAAGAUGACCAGAACCGAAGGCCUCCACGUAGAGAGCUUCAUCAGGAGGGCUUCUACAAUGAGGACGACUGGUAUGAAUAUUUCCAUCAUAGAAAUUUUGCUUUUGAUGAUGCUUCUCCUCUAUCAACAGAAUUGCAGGCUACACCAUGGCCUCAGUCUUACAAGCCACCCCAGCUCCCCAUGUACGACGGUCAUUCAGACCCGAACCAAUUCUUGAUGAGCUAUGAAGCAACCAUAUCUUCGUAUGGUGGCAAUACUGCAGUCAUGGCAAAGUCUUUUGUCAUGGCCGUCAAGAGUGUCGCUCAGACCUGGUACUCCUCUCUUCGGCCAGGGACAAUCACCUCAUGGCAGAAGCUGAAGGAUAUGUUGAUAACCAGCUUCCAAGGGUUUUAGACGAAGCUAGUUACGGCUCAAGCUUUAUUCCAGUGUACCCAGGACCACGAAAAAUACCUUCAGGUGUAUGUCCGAAGGUUUCUGCGUCUGAGGGCACAGGCGCCAACAGUGCCCAAUGAAAUUGUCAUUGAGGCCAUGAUUAAGGGACUUCGGCCGGGACCUUCAGCGCAAUACUUUGCCAGGAAGCCACCACAAACAUUGGAGAAGCUGCUCCAGAAGAUGGACGAGUAUAUUCGAGCUGACAAUGACUUCCGCCAAAGAAGGGAGGAAGCAUUCAGGUUCUCUGAAAUGACCAGGGGCUUCGGAGGAAGAUUUCAUCUGAGGCACGUCAGGUCAAUUCAUAAUUCUACUCAAAGUGAUGAUAGAGGGAGCCAACAGUAAAGGCCACAAUACUCCUCGCAAGCUUCGGGGCAGCAGCAAAGCUCUUUCCGGCCGCCAGCCCCAAGGGGCAGAGGCGUCAGGGGCUUCGAGGGAAGAUUUGGGGAUCAACCAAGAAAAAUUUACUGCCUAUUCUAUGGUGAAGACAAGGGCCAUACCACCAGGAUGUGCCAUGUUACCAUCCAGAAGCAAAAGGAGAUAGCAGAAGUUGUAGCACAAUAGAGUCAGCCGAAGCAGGUCAUGCACACUGCUUCGUAUCAUUCGCCUUACAUUCCAGAAUAUGUAGGCAAUCACCCUGCAGCUUCUGUUGCUUCGGCAAGCCAACCCCAAGCAUCUUGGCAACAGCCUCCACCGCCACCACCAACACAAAGAGGUCAGCAGCCAGAAGGGAGUCAACACACUCACCUUCAGCGGGACUUCAGAGAGGAGUCCGAAGCUCGCACAGUCAAUAGCACUGUGCCAGAGUCGAAGCACAUUUACUGACAAAUAUCCUACCUCGACAGUAGUUUUCCGCAUUUUCACAUUCAGUACUACUUUCUUUUUAAUAAGGAACAAUUAUGGGAAGUCUAAGUGUCUUUUAUCGUUUUUCAAUUCCUUGUAAUAGUUUCGCUUUUUACCAUAAUGAAAAUAUAUCUUCUCCAUAGGCUUGAGUUGCCAAAGCAUAAGAAUUUAUGGGGGCACGAAGGACCUUCGAAUUAUCAAAAAUUUGUUCCAAAGGACGCAGUGCAAUUUAUUCGAAGCAGUAAAAAGUCGUUCCUAAGGGAGCGCAGUGUAAGUUUUCUGAGCCUACAACGAAAAAUAAGCGUUGAUUCCGCUGAAAGUAAAAGGCGAAGAAGCUCCUAAGGGAGGCUUACAGCGAAAAAUAAACGCUGAUUCCGCUGAAAGUAAAAGGCGAAGAAGCUCCUAAGGGAGGCUUACAGCGAAAAAUAAACGCUGAUUCCGCUGAAAGUAAAAGGCAAAGAAGCUCCUAAGGGAGGCUUACAGUGAAAAAUAAACGCUGAUUCCGCUGAAGUAAAAGGCGAAGAAGCUCCUAAGGGAGGUUUACAGUGAAAAACAGAUGUCAACUUUCGGCAAAUAUCAUUUUGCACAACAUUACAUCAUUACAUCAUUUGCAUAGCAUAACAUCAUACAUCAUAGUGCAUCAACAACGCAAGAAGGGGGGUUUCGAUAUUGAUAUUCGAAGGCUGUUUUAAAGAGAUAGUUACACCAUUGAAAAGUUUUACCUUCGUCAAAUUCUGAAAUGGGAGGAUUUAGUGAUUGUUGAUUUUACAAGGAUUGAUUACUGAUUUUUACGAAGCAUGAAAAGAAGGGAAGGUGUUUUUUCGCCGAAGGCUCAAAAAUGGUAUGUAUAUGAUGUUUCAUGCAUCGUCAAAAAUAGAAUUAUAAAUAGCUAAUAUGUUAUAUCCAAAGUUACACAAUAUUACACAUGAUUCUCAAUAAGCAUUACAAUCUAAAUGUUUUUACAGCAGCAUUUAAUCUUCCUUUAAGACUACUUCUACAGCUUCGUUUAGAAGCUGAUCAACAACUCUAUCCAUGAUGGCUUCGGCCAUUUGUCUAAUUUCGUUAUCCCCCUUCGUGUGGGGGCCUGGAGAUAGCUCAGCAGAUUCUGAGGGAAGAGAAGAUAUGAAUAUAUUACUAUUACAAACCAUGAACAAGUUCAAAAUCAAAAAAUUACAACGAAGAGCCAGUUAUCACUAAUUAAUACCUAUUUGUCCCUCAGGCUCUGCGCUUUUCUCAGCAGCCUCUGCUACCUUUCUAGCAUCAUGGAUGCCUUUUUCACUUUUUUGAAUGAUUUCUUGGGCCAUUUCUCGGCCGCCAUUGUCCCAGAUGUCGGUGAAAAAUUUCCCAACGACCAAGCUUGCUUCGGCCGAGGGGUCUUUUAUAUCUUCGAAAGACAAGGCAGUUUCGGAUUGCGCUAAAGAUUUCACAUGCUCACAGCCUUUUCUUUCCAAAACAGUAACAAUCCCCCUGGCGCCCGAAAAAGCACAAAUGUCUCCGCGGCUAUUCAAGAUUUCCUCGAAGGCCUCAGCUUCGUGACUGAUCCAUUCAAUCGGGCCUUCUGGAUUACCCCUUGUGAAAUUUUCUUCGCUAGAGAAUGCGCCAACGCUGGCGAAGCUGGAUUUUAUUUUCUUAGCACAUUCUAUGGAUUUGUCAUAGAACCUUUUCUUGGAUGCACGAAGCUCUUUAACAUUUAUUUCCAAAUGAUUUGCCCAUUGAUCACUAAGUUCUCGUUUUGUCUCUUCAAGUAUGCGUUCUUCUUUAGCUCUGGCUAGCUGUUUCCGAAGAUCUUCAAUUUCGUGUUUUUGGGCUUCAGCUUGAGCCUUAGAGGUAGCUUCGUCUUUCUUUAUUUUAUUCACCAAUGUAAGCAGAAUUUUAUCUUUUUCCAAAGCUUCGUUCCUCAGCUUAAUAACCUCUGUUCGUAGGUUGUUGAAAGCAAUAUUGUAGCUCUCGUCUUCGGCAUUCUUUUGUGCUCUCAAAGCGUUGCUCAGUAUUAAACCCUAUAUGAAAAAGAAUUAGUAUAAGAAUAAAAGAAUGAUUCAAAAAUUAUAAAUUUCCAAAUAUACAAUUCUCACACCUUCAGACUAUUAUAUGCAAGGCUAUCCGCAAGAUCGUCCUUCGUCAUAGCGCAGAGUCCAGCUUCAAGCUUCGGAAACCCCAUACUUCUAGCCAUCUCCCGGCAGACAGAUAAUUCUUUGUUGUCUGGGAGACAGUAUAAGAAGUCAUCUUCGUCUGUGCCAUUGAACACUAAGGCCCCCUUCGGAUACUUCAGUUCUCGGGCAUAGUGAUUAGCUUCAAAAAUCUCUUCUUCAGAUAAUUUCUUCCCCGAAGCAUGUCGUACAAUAUAAUCACGUAUUUUGGAAGAUGCUUCGGGGGCAGCAGUGCCAGUUUCUUCACUCAAAAUUUGUUCUGCUAUUUCUGUUUUUUCGGCUUCCAAGGAUUUCACCUUGGCGGGCUCUGAAGGGCCGGCUUCAGUUUCAGACUGUGGCUUUGAAGCUUCGGCGUCAAAGGUUUCAGUGUGCACUUCGGAAGUUUUAGCAAUUUUCUUUGGAGUUGUGCUUGAAGAUUUAAUUGUCUCUAAAACAUCUAGCACAUUAACCAUCCUUUUUCUUUUAGGGGUCACUGCUGGACCCUUAUGGCUUUUUGUUGCCUCAGUUUUUGUCGAAGGACUCAAGACUUCUGAUGUCUUUACUUCCUCAGCCCUCAUUUCUUCUAUUUUUUCAGCCACUGGCACUUCGGCCAGCACUUCAAUAUUUGGCAGGGGAGCUGUUUCUUUAGCUUCAGUGGCCGAAGGAGUCCCACUGACAAAUGCAGGCACUGUGGCCGGUUCAAUAUAACGUGGCCGGUGUGUGAGAACUUUUACCCUUCUCCUCUUCGGCGCUGGCUCGCUAGGAGCGGCUGAAGCAGUUUCCUUCGCAGAAGAUGUAUUCUUUCUUUUUUCACCCCGUGCUGGAUAAUGGUAGUCGGGGUAGACAAACCCAAUUGCAUCAAAUACUCGGUUGAGCCUUUUCCUUUUUCGGCCUCCGAAGGCCACCGAUAAUGCAGUAUCUUCGGCCUUUGAGUAUACACCAAGUAAUUCAUCACUGAUGGCCUCAAUACUUUUCAACCAGUCAUCAUCUGGCUCAACGAAUUUAUCUCCGUAUUUAAAUGUGUAUUUCAGCCUGACUAGUCCACCUUCGUCAGUUUCUUUAAUGGUCUCCUUCGGCAUUUCCCAUUUUUCCACAAGUGGCCAUACUCUGAAGGCAAUGUGUUCUUGGACCAAAUCCCUUGUCCCAAUAAAAGAACAAACAACACCGAAGGCUCUCUGGCAUUCUUCGGCUGCUUCAUUCAUUUCCACCUUCGGCCUCCGCAGGCCGAAGCGUUGCCAGAUGGGACGCAUAAUGAUACUUUUAAUAUCUUCCCGUGAUUUCAAGUCAUUCUUCACGUAAAACCAUUCUGUCAUCCAGUCGUCGGGCCACCUCUUUCGGAAGGUUGGCACGGGGCAGCUUGACCCAGACCGGGAGCCGAAGCUGUAGCAGCCAAAAUGGUUGUGAUACUGUUCUUUACCCUAGGGUUUUGUUUCGUACAAUAAUUCAUGUAUGUUGCAGAAACUUUUCGCAUUAGGUUCCAAACCUUGGCUUCGCAUGGCCCACACAAAGAUGCUCAUCCUUAUGAUUGCUUCGGGGGUAAGUUGGUGAAGGUAGAUUUCAAAUAUCUUCAGUAUUUCCACAACAAAGCUACUUAAGGGAAAUCGUAGUCCAGCUUUCAAGAAGCUUCGGAAUACCACAACUUCAUUUUCCUCAGGAGUCGGACAAGUCUUCUCCCCUUUAUCAGCCCUCACAACGGACAAGUCCCGAAAAUACCGGCCCCUCAUAUUGACAAGAUGAUUUUCUUUAAUACUUGAUUUACCAAAAACCGCAUGGCUUGGUCGCCAAGGUCGAUCUUCGGAGUCUUCACCACCACUAUCCACAUCAUAACUGUCACUGUCACCGGUAUCUUCAGAUAAACCCUCCAAAAUUUCCUUAGUAAUCUUCUCUGUAUUAGUCUUUGACAUUGAUUGAAGAAAGCCCAGAUGCAUUUCCUCAGAAAGACUUAGCUUCGAAUCACCAACGGCUUUUUUAUCUUCAGACAUCCUUGCAAAUGCAGAGAAGGUGCUCUCGAAACCGAAGCUUAAAAAUCUAAAAAGCCAAACAAGUGUUGUUGCGCGCAGGCUAAAAGUUGGGUGAGUAAAAGCAGUUGGCAAGAGAGCGUGCCAAAUAAACUCGUGAUGAGCUCUUAUUUAUACACCUAGUGCGUUGAAAACUGGAGGGUCCCGCUUGUCAAAGACUGUUGCUAUUCUAGCAAAGAGAAGGUGUUUUUUCGGACCUUCGGCUUAAGGCCUUCGUCCAUGUCGCAAUAUGAAUUUAUCAUUCCAGCAAAUUAAUAUUGCGAGGGGCUACUGUUGGGGGCCUUCGGCUUCCGAAGGUCCUCAAAAACAUGAUUUGACAAUGUUUUCCAAGUAUGCGAGCAGGCAUCUUCGGAAUCAGGUUACGGGUAUACAAGAGCAUGGUCAAGACGAAGCUUGACUGGGAUGGAAGGCGAUCAUGACGAAGGAUGAGAUGAUCACGAAGCUAUAUGCAGAAAAGCUUCGGCAUGACAGCAGAAAAAGGGAACCGACUUAAAGAUGAAAAGCCAAAUUAGACCUCGAAGAAUUACUAUAGAGUUAUUGAUAAAUGUAAAGGGCAUUAAUGUAAUUUUACACGGGCUGUGUCCCGUGCCUAUAAAUAGAUGAACAGUACUCCUGUACUGUUCACGCUGACUGGGCAUUCGCUUUAGCAUCACGCUUGUACCCUUACUUUCCUUCAAGUCGAAGGUACAUUUGUAAUUUGCCGUUGUUUAUACAAGUAAUAUAAUAAAAGGAAUUAAUAAUAAUGUUGAAAGUAAUCAUGUUAUUUUCCGUGUUUUGUGUAUAAAUCUCUCUCAUCUUUUAUUAUGAUUAUGAAUGUGUGACCUUCAUAACCUUCGUCCGAAAUUCAUUAUAUCCGAAGGGAAAUAAUGCUUCAAAGGACGAAGGGCUUUGAUAUUUAACAUUUUAUGUUGCCUUGUUCUUAAUUCAUAGCAUUUGAGAACAAGUCCCCAACAAUCCUCAUCUUGAGUUGGUGGAGAUGCUUGUGCGGAGGAAGAUGGUUGAUCUUGUGCAUGUGGUGGCUCUUCGGAUUCCUUAGGACACACAUCCCUAAUGGACAUGUUCCUUAGCGCGACGCACGGAGCCUCUUCAUCACCUAUCUCAUCAAGAUCAACUUGCUCUACUUGAGAGCCAUUAGUCUCAUCAAACACAACGUCACAAGAAACUUCAACUAGUCCUGAGGACUUGUUAAAGACUCUAUAUGCCCUUGUGUUUGAAUCAUAUCCUAGUAAAAAUCCUUCUACAGUCUUAGGAGCAAAUUUAGAUUUUCUACCUCUUUUAACAAGAAUAAAGCAUUUGCUACCAAAGACUCUAAAAUAUGAAAUAUUGGGCUUUUUACCGGUUAGGAGUUCAUAUGAUGUCUUCUUGAGGAUUCGGUGUAAAUACAACCGGUUGAUGGUGUAGCAGGCGGUGUUGACCGCCUCGGCCCAAAACCGAUCCGAAGUCUUGUACUCAUCAAGCAUGGUCCUUGCCAUGUCCAAUAGAGUUCUAUUCUUCCUAUCCACUACACCAUUUUGUUUUGGCGUGUAGGGAGAAGAGAACUCAUGCUUGAUGCCCUCCUCCUCAAGGAAACAUUCGAUUUGAGAAUUCUUGAACUUCGUUCCGUUGUCGCUUCUAAUUUUCUUGAUCCUUAACCCGAACUCGUUUUGAGCCCGUCUCAAGAAUCCCUUUAAGGUCUCUUGGGUAUGAGAUUUUUCCUGCAAAAAGAAUACCCAAGUGAAGCGAGAAUAAUCAUCCACAAUAACUAGAUAGUACUUACUCCCGCCGAUGCUUAUGUAAGCAAUUGGGCCGAAUAGGUCCAUGUGGAGGAGCUCUAGUGGCCUGUCAGUCGUCAUGAUGUUCUUAUGUGGAUGAUGAACACCAACUUGCUUUCCUGCCUGACAUGCGCUACAAACCCUGUCUUUCUCAAAAUGAACAUUUGUUAGUCCCAAAAUGUGUUCUCCCUUUAGAAGCUUGUGAAGAUUCUUCAUUCCAACAUGUGCUAGUCGGCGAUGCCAGAGCCAACCCAUGUUAGUCUUAGCAAUUAGGCAAGUGUCGAGUUCAGCUCUAUCAAAAUCUACUAAGUAUAGCUGACCCUCUAACACUCCCUUAAAUGUUACUGAAUCAUCACUUCUUCUAAAGACAGUAACACCUAUAUCCAUAAAAAGACAGUUGUAGCCCAUUUUACAUAGUUGUGAAACUAAAAGCAAGUUGUAAUCUAAAGAAUCUACAAGAAAAACAUUGGAAAUGGAAUGGUCAGGAGAUAUAGCAAUUUUACCCAAUCCUUUGACCAAACCUUGAUUCCCAUCCCCGAAUGUGAUAGCUCGUUGGAGAUCUUGGUUUUUCUCAUAGGAGGAGAACAUUUUCUUCUCCCAUGUCAUAUGGUUUGUGCACCCGCUAUCGAUGAUCCAACUUGAGCCCUCGGAUGCAUAAACCUACAAAACAAGUUUAGUUCUUGAUUUUAGGUACCCAAAUGGUUUUGGGUCCUUUGACAUUAGAUACAAGAACUUUGGGUACCCAAACACAAGUCUUUGAUCCCUUGUGUUUGCCCCCAACAUACUUGGCAACUAUCUUGCCGGAUUUGUUAGUUAAAACAUAAGAUGCAUCAAAAGUUUUAAAUGAAAUGUUAUGAUCAUUUGAUGCACUAGGAGUUUUCUUCUUAGGCAAUUUAGCACAGGUUGAUUGCCUAGAGCUAGAUGUCUCACCCUUAUACAUAAAAGUAUGAUUAGGGCCAGAGUGAGACUUCCUAGAGUGAAUUCUCCUAAUUUUGCUCUCAGGAUAACCGGCAGGGUACAAAAUGUAACCCUCGUUAUCCUGAGGCAUGGGAGCCUUGCCCUUUAGAAAGUUAGACAAUCUUUUAGGAGGAGCAUUAAGUUUGACAUUGUCCUCCUUUUGGAAGCCAAUGCCAUCCUUGAUGCCAGGGCGUCUCCCACUAUAGAGCAUGCUUCUAGCAAAUUUAAAUUUCUCAUUUUCUAAGUCAUGCUCAUUGAUCUUGACAUUAAGUUGAGCUAUGUGAUCAUUUUGUUUUUUAAUUAAAGCUAGGUGGUCAUGGAUAGCAUCAACAUUAAUGUCUCUACAUCUAGUACAAGUGAAAGUAUGCUCAACGGUAGAUGUAGAGGGUUUGCAAGAUUUUAAUUGAACAACCUUAGCAUGUAAUAUAGCAUUCUCACUUCUAAGAUUGGAUAUGGUAACAUUGCAAACAUCUAAAUCCUUAGCCUUAGCAAUUAAAUUUUCAUUUUCAUUUCUAAGGCUAGCAAGAGAAACAUUCAACUUUUCAAUCUUAGCAAGCAAAUUAGCAUUAUCAUCUCUAAGAUUGGAACUAGAAUCAUCACAAAUAUUAGAAUCAACCUUAGCAAUAAGUUUAGCAUUUUCAUUUCUAAGGUUGGCAAUAGUAUCAUGGCAAGUGCUUAGCUCAUUAGAUAAUUUCUCACAUUUUUCUACUUCUAGAGCAUAAGCAUUCUUAACCUUAACAUGUUUCUUGUUUUCUUUAAUUAGGAAGUCCUCUUGAGAAUCCAAGAGAUCAUCCUUUUCAUGAAUAGCACUAAUUAAUUCAUUUAAUUUUUAUUUUUAUUGCAUGUUAAGGUUGGCAAAAAGGGUGCGCAAAUUAUCCUCCUCAUCACUAGCAUUAUCUUCAUCACUAGAGGAUGCAUAUUUAGUGAAGGAUUUGGAUUUCACCUUCUUCUUUUUGCCGUCCUUUGCCAUGAGGCACUUGUGGCCGACGUUGGGGAAGAGGAGUCCCUUGGUGACGGUGAUGUUUGCGGUGUCCUCGUCGGAGGAGGAGUUGGUGGAGCUCUCGUCGGAGUCCCAUUCCCGGCAAACAUGGGCAUCACCGCCCUUCUUCUUGUAAUACCUCUUCUUCUCCUUUCUUCUCCCCUUCUUGUCGUCCCCCCUGUCACUAUCACUAGAUAAUGGACAUUUAGCAAUGAAAUGACCGGGCUUACCACACUUGUAGCACACUUUCUUGGAGCGGGGCUUGUAAUCCUUCCCCCUCCUUUGCUUGAGGAUUUGGCGGAAGCUCUUGAUGAUGAGCGCCAUUUCCUCGUUGUCGAGCUUGGAGGCGUCGAUGGGUGUUCUACUUGAUGUAGAUUUCUCCUUCUUCUCCUCCGUCGCCUUGAAUGCGACCGGUUGUGCUUCGGACGUGGAGGGGCCAUCUAGCUCGACGAUUUUCUUUGAGCCUUUGAUCAUCAAUUCAAAGCUCACAAAAUUCCCUAUUACUUCCUCGGGAGUCAUUAGUGUAUAUCUAGGAUUACCACGAAUUAAUUGAACUUGAGUAGGGUUAAGGAAAACAAGUGAUCUAAGAAUAACCUUAACCAUUUCGUGGUCAUCCCAUUUUUUGCUCCCGAGGUUGCGCACUUGGUUCACCAAGGUUUUGAGUCGGUUGUACAUGUCUUGUGGCUCCUCCCCUUGGCGAAGCCGGAAGCGACCGAGCUCCCCCUCGAUCAUCUCUCGCUUGGUGAUCUUGGUCACCUCGUCUCCUUCGUGCGCGGUCUUUAGCACGUCCCAAAUCUCCUUUGCGCUCUUCAACCCUUGCACCUUAUUAUACUCCUCUCGACUUAGAGAGGCGAGAAGUAUAGUUGUGGCUUGGGAGUUGAAGUGUUGGAUUUGUUCGACUUCCUCGGAGUCGUAAUCCUUGUCUCCUUUCUUUGGUACCUGCACUCCAUACUCAACAAUAUCCCAUAUGCUUUUGUGGAGUGAGGUUAGGUGAUGCCUCAUUUUAUCACUCCACAUAGAAUAAUCUUCACCUUCAAACAUAGGUGGUUUGCCUAAUGGAAUGGAAAGUAAUGGAGCACGUCUAGAGAUGCGAGGAUAGCGAAGGGGCAUCUUAUUAUACUUCUUGCGCUCAUGGCGCUUUGAAGUAGUGGAGGCCGAUUCCGAGCCGGAGGUGGAGGGUGACGAAGAGUCGGUCUCGUAGUAGACCACAUUCCUCAUCUUCUUCUUCUUGUCACCCAUCCGAUGGGACUUGAUGGAGGAAGAGGAUUCCUCCUUGUGCUUGUGGGCGGACUCCCUUGAGUGUGUUCUUCCCGAGCUUGCGGACUUGUCGCCGGUCCCGAGAUCCCUCUUGGUGGAUGCUUCCGACAUCACUUCGAGCGGUUAGGCUCUAAUGAAGCACCGGGCUCUGAUACCAAUUGAAAGUCGCCUAGAGGGGGGGUGAAUAGGGCGAAUCUGAAAUUUACAAACUUAAGUACAACUACAAGCUGGGUUAGCGUUAGAAAUAAGAACGAGUCUGAGAGAGAGGGCGCAAAACAAAUCGUGAGCAAAUAAAGAGUGAGACACGAAGAUUUGUUUUACCGAGGUUCGGUUCUUGUAAACCUACUCCCCGUUGAGGUGGUCACGAAGACCGGGUCUCUUUCAACCCUUUCCCUCUCUCAAACGGUCACUUAGACCGAGUGAGCUUCUCUUCUCAAUCAAACGGGACACAAAGUCCCCGCAAGGAUCACCACACAAUUGGUGUCUCUUGCCUUGGUUACAAUUGAGUUGAUCGCAAGAAGAAUGAGAAAGAAAAGAAGCAAUCCAAGCGCAAGAGCUCAAAUGAACACAACAAAUCUCUCUCUCUAAUCACUAAAGCUUUGUGUGGAGUUGGGAGAGGAUUUGAUCUCUUUGGUGUGUCUUGUAAUGAAUGCUAUAGCUCUUGUAAGGUGUAGAAGUGUAGAAACUUGGAUGCCAUUGAAUGUGGGGUGGUUGGGGUAUUUAUAGCCCCAACCACCAAAAAUGGCCGUUGGAAGUGUGCUGUCGCAUGGCGCACCGGACAGUCCGGUGCGCCACCGGACACUGUCCGGUGCGCCAGCCACGUCAGCAGACCGUUGGGGUUCGACCGUUGGAGCUCUGACUUGUGGGGCCUCUGGGUUGUCCGGUGGUGCACCGGACAGGUCCUGUAGACUGUCUGGUGCGCCAACUGCGCGUGCUCUGACUCUAGCGCGCACUGUAGCACAUUGAAUGCGGUUGCAGACGACCGUUGCGCUCGAAGUAGUUGUUGCUCCGCUGGCACACCAGACAGUCCGAUGUGCAUCGGACACUGUCUGGUGACUCACCGGACAGUCCGAUGUGCAUCGGACACUGUCCAGUGACUCACCGGACAGUCCGGUGAAUUAUAGCGGAGCGCCCUCUAAGUUUCCCGAAGGUAGCAAGUUCAGCUUCAAGUGCCCUGGUGCACCGGACACUGUUCGGUGGUGCACCGGACACUGUCUGGUGGCACACCGGAUAGUCCGGUGCGCCAUACCAGGGUGCCUUUGGGUUGUCCUUUGCUCUCUUUGUUUGAACCCUUUUCUUGGUCUUUUUAUUGGCUAAUUGUGAACCUUUGGCACCUGUAAAACUUAUACACUAGAGCAAACUAGUUAGUCCAAUUAUUUGUGUUGGGUAAUUCAACCACCAAAAUCAAUUAGGAAAUAGGUGCAAGCCUAAUUCCCUUUCAGCGCCCUCGGGCGUCUUGUCAUAGCCGAAGUACCAAGUCCCCCACCUGGAGGUCUCGGGACCAAACCCCUCUGGUGUGGUAGCGUCGCAGAGACUGCUGAUACCAUGCCGAGUGUAGUAAGGCCAUGUCCCGAGCCUCUUCCAGUUGGUCCAGUGAGUCCUCUCGGCUAGUCUGGUUGCUUCGGUCGUCGUACGCCCUUGUCCUCGGGGAACCGUAUUCUAAGUCUGUGGGCAAGAUAGCCUCGACCCCAUAGACUAGAAAAAACGGCGUGAAGCCCGUGGCUCGGCUUGGCGCCGUCCUCAGACUCCAGACCACCGAGGGGAGUUCCUUCAUCCAUUGCUUGCCAAACUUGUUGAGGUCGUUGUAGAUCCUCGUCUUAAGUCCCUGCAGAAUCAUGUCAUUGGCACGCUCUACCUACCCAUUCGUCAUGGGGUGAGCUACGGUGGCCCAGUCCACCCGGAUGUGGUGGUCCUCGCAGAAGUCCAGGAACUUCCUGCCAGUGAACUGGGUGCCGUUGUCGGUGAUGAUGGAGUUCGGGACCCCAAAGCGAUGGAUGAUGUUGGUGAAGAACACCACCGCCUGUUCGGACCUGAUGCUGUUUAGGGGUUGGACCUCGAUCCACUUGGACAAUUUGUCGAUAGCGACCAGCAGGUGCGUGAAGCCCCCGGGUGCCUUCUACAAGGGACCAACGAGGUCCAGACCCCACACAGCAAACGACCAGGUGAUGGGUAUUGUUUGCAGGGCCUGAGCGGGCAGGUGUGUCUUCCUUGCGUAGAAUUGACACCCUUGGCAGGUGCGUACAAUCCUAGUGGCGUCGGCCACCGCGGUUGGCCAGUAAAAACCUUGUCGAAAGGCGUUUCCAACGAGGGCUCGAGGUGCUGAGUGAUGACCGCAAGCCCCCGAGUGUAUUUCUUGCAAUAGCUCCUGACCUUCGGCGAUAGAUAUGCAUCGCUGGAGGAUGCCUGAGGGGCUGUGGUGGUAGAGCUCCUUCUCGUCACCCAGCAAGACGAACGACUUGGUGCGCCGCGCUAGUCGUCGAGCUUCGACUCUGUCGAGGGGUAGCUCUCCUCGGUGGAGAUAUUGCAGGUACGGGGUCUGCCAGUUUCGGUUAGGCGUGACCCCAUUCCGCUCUUCCUCUACGCGCAGUGCCUCACCCUCGGUGGCCGAGGGUGCCUCGGGCUGGGCCGAGGCCUCCUCGGGCUCGGGCGUGUCGUCGGUCUUGACGGAGGGUUGAUGUAGGUCUCGGGAGAAGACGUCCGGGGGAACCGUUGUCCGUCCCGAGGCUAUCUUAGCCAGCUCGUCCGCAGUCUCAUUGUACCGUCGAGCGAUGUGGUUGAGCUCGAGCCCGUAGAACUUGUCUUCCAAGCGCCGAACCUCGUCGUAGUAGGCCUCCAUCUUCGGGUCGCGGCAGUGGGAGUUCUUCAUGACUUGGUCGAUGACAAGCUGCGAGUCGCCACGAGCGUCGAAGCGCCGAACCCCUAGCUCGAUGGAGAUGCGCAACCCGUUAACCAGAGCCUCAUACUCGGCCACGUUGUUUGACGCUGGGAGAUAGAGGCGCAGCACGUAGCGGAGGUGCUUCCCGAGGGGUGAGAUGAAGAGCAUGCCCGCACCCGCUCCUGUUUUCAUCAGCGACCCGUCGAAAUACAUGGUCCAGAGUUCCGGUUGGAUCAGAGCUGCUGGAAGCUGGGUGUCGACCCAUUCAGCCACAAAGUCCGCCAAGAUUUGGGACUUGAUGGCCUUCCGAGGAGCGAACGAAAUUGUCUCGCCCAUGAUCUCCACCGCCCAUUUUGCAAUCCUACCCGAGGCGUCUCGGCACUGAAUGAUCUCCCCCAGGGGGAAGGAUGACACCACAGUCACCGGAUGAGACUCGAAGUAGUGUCGCAACUUUCGCCGCGUCAGAAUUACCGCGUACAGUAGCUUCUGAAUUUGCGGGUAGCGGAUUUUGGUCUCGGACAGUACUUCACUGAUGAAGUAGAUGGACCUCUGGACGAGCAAUGCAUGCCCUUCUUCUCGUCUCUCGACCAUGAUCGUGGCGCUGACCACCUGAGUGGUUGCGGCUACGUAGAUCAAGAGGGCUUCUCCGGCAGCGAGGGGCACCAGGAUGGGCGCGCUUGUAAGGAGCGCCUUUAAGUUCCCGAGGGCUUCCUCGGCCUCGGGGGUCCAAGUGAAGCGCUCGGUCUUCCUUAAGAGGCGGUACAGGGGUAGGCCUCUUUCGCCGAGGCGCGAGAUGAAGCAGCUCAGAGCCGCAAGGCGUCCCUUGAUAGGCCCCAUGUUGGUGAUGGCCGCGAUUUUCUCCGGGUUGGCCUCGAUGCCCCGCUCGGAGACGAUGAACCCCAGGAGCAUGCCUUGGGGGACUCCGAAGACACACUUCUCGGGAUUGAGUUUCACGCCCUUCGCCCUCAGACACUUGAAUGUCGUUUCAAGGUUAGAGAGGAGGUCGGAGGCUUUCCUCGUCUUGACUAUGAUGUCAUUGACGUAAGCCUCGACCGUUCGGCCAAUGUGCUCUCCGAACACGUGGUUCAUGCACCUUUGGUAUGUCGCGCCUGCAUUCCUUAAACCGAAUGGCAUAGUAAUAUAGCAGUACAUGCCAAAAGGUGUGAUGAAAGAGGUCACGAGCUGGUCGGACUCUUUCAUCCUUAUUUGGUGAUACCCUGAGUAGGCAUCGAGGAAUGACAGGGUUUCGCACCCAGCAGUGGAAUCCACGAUUUGAUCGAUGCGAGGCAGAGGGUAGGGAACCUUCGGACAUGCUUUGUUUAGACUAGUGUAGUCUACACACAUCCUCAAUUUCCCACCUUUCUUUUUCACAAGCACAGGGUUGGCUAGCCAUUCGGGAUGGAAUACCUCUUUGAUGAACCCUGCAGCCAUUAGCUUGUGGAUCUCCUCGCCUAUGGCUCUGCACUUUUCUUCGUCGAAUCGACGCAGAGGCUGCUUCACGGGUCGGGCUCCAGCUCGGAUAUCCAGCGAGUGCUCGGCGACAUCCCUCGGUAUGCCAGGCAUGUCCGAGGGACUCCACGCAAAAACCUCGGCGUUCGCGCGGAGAAAGUCGACGAGCACUGCUUCCUAUUUGGGGUCGAGCUCGGAGUCGAUCCGGACUUGCUUGGAGGCGUCGUCGCUGGGGUCGAGAGGGACGGACUUAACCGCCUCUGCUGGCUCGAAGUUGCCGGCGUGGCGCUUCGCAUCUGGCACCUCCUUGGAGAGGCUCUCCAGGUCGGCGAUGAGGGCCUCGGAUUCGGCGAGGGCCUCAGCGUACUCCACGCACUCCACGUCGCAUUCGUACGUGUGUCGGUACGUGGAUCCAAUGGAGAUGACCCCAUUGGGGCCCGACAUCUUGAGCUUGAGGUAGGUGUAGUUGGGGACGGCCAUGAACUUGGUGUAGCAUGGUCUCCCCAGCACUGCGUGGUAGGUUCCUCGGAACCCGACCACCUCGAACGUGAGGGUUUCCUUUCGGAAGUUGGAGGGAGUCCCGAAGCAGACGGGCAGAUCGAGUUGCCCAAGGGGUUGGACGCGCUUCCCGGGGAUGAUCCCGUGAAAGGGCGCCGCACCGGCCCGGAUCGUGGACAGAUCGAUCUGCAAGAGCCCGAGGGCCUCGGUGUAGAUGAUGUUGAGGCUGCUGCCUCCGUCCAUGAGGACCUUGGUAAGCCUGACGUUGCCGAUGACGGGAUCGACAAGGAGCGGGUACUUCCCUGGGCUCGGCACGCAGUCGGGGUGGUUGCCUUGGUCGAAGGUGAUGGGCUUGUCGGACCAGUCUAGAUAGACUGGCGCCGCCAUCUUCACCGAGCAGACCUCCCGGCGCUCCUGCUUGUGGUGCCGAGUUGAGGCGUUCGCCACUUGCCCACCGUAGAUCAUGAAGCAGUCGUGGACCUCGGGGAACUCCUCUGCUUUGUUGUCCUCCUUCUUGUCGUUGUCAUGGCCUUUGCCACCUUCCGCCGGGGGCCCGACCCUAUGGAAGUAGCGCCGAAGCAUGACACACUCCUCAAGGGUGUGCUUGAUGGGACCUUGAUGAUAGGGGCACGACUCCUUGAGCAUCUUGUCGAACAGGUUGGCCCCUCCGGGAGGCUUCCAAGGGUUCCUGUGCUCGGCGGCGGCGACAAGAUCUGCGUCGGCGGUGCCGCGUUUUGCUUGUGACUUCUUCUUGCCCUUCUUCUUCGUGCCACGCUAAGCGGACGCCUUGGGGACGUCUUCCUGCUGGCGUCCCUGAGGCUGCUUGUCCUUCCGCAAGAUGGCCUCGACCGCCUCCUGACCAGAGGCGAACUUGGUGGCGAUGUCCAUCAGCUGGCUCGCCCUGGUGGGAGUCUUGCGACCCAGCUUGCUCACCAGGUAACGCGUCGAUGACAUCUGAGUCGGUGAUGUUGGGCAGCUCGGUGCGCUGCUUCGAAAAUCGUCGGAUGUAGUCCUGCAGGGAUUCUCCUGGCUGCUGGCGGCAGCUUCAGAGAUCCCAGGAGUUCCCAGGGCGCACGUAUGUGCCCUGGAAGUUUCCGAUGAAGGCUUUGACCAGGUCGUCCUAGUUGGAGAUCUGAGCAGGAGGCAGAUGCUCCAGCCAGGCUCGGGCGGCAUCAGAGAGGAACAGGGGGAGGUUGCGGAUGAUGAGGUUGUCAUCGUCCGUUCCACCCAGCUGGCAGGCCAGUCGAUAGUCCGCGAGCCACAGUUCCAGCCUUGUUUCCCCUGAGUACUUAGUGAUGGUAGUCGGGGCUCGGAACCGGGUCGGGAACGACGCCCGUCGUAUGGCCCGGCUGAAAGCUUGCGGACUGGGUGAUUCGGGCGAGGGGCUCCGAUCCUCCCCGCUAUCGUAGCGUCCCCAACGCCUGGGGUGGUAGCCUCGGCGCACCUUCUCGUCGAGGUGGGCUCAACGGUCGCGACGGUGGUGCUCGUUGCCGAGGCGACCCGGGGCUGCAAGCGUUGCGUCCCGCGUGCGCCCGGUGUGGACCGAGGCUUCCCGCAUGAAUCGAGAAGUCGCGGCGCGAUGCUCUAGGGGGUACCCUUGCCUUCGGGAGAUAGAGCUUUUAGCCCGUUGGACCACGGCAUCCUCCAGGAGGUUCUUGAGUUCUCCCUGGAUACGCCGCCCCUCGGUGGUGGACGGCUCCGGCAUCGCUCGGAGUAGUAUUGCUGCUGCAGCCAGGUUCUGGCCGACCCCACUGGAAGCCGGGGGCAGCCUUGCCCUGGCAUCAUCAGCGAUGCGGUGCUGGACGUCCUGGGCUAGAUGACGCGCUUCUCCGGCUAGUGCUCGGCCUGCCCACUCCUACCCGAUGUUUUGCCGGAGCUGCACAAGUUGUCCUGCUUCCUCGUCGAGCUUGGCCUACAUCUCGCGGAUUUGCUCGAGCUGUGUGUCCUGACCCCCCGCAGGGACUCGGACCACAGCUAGCUCCUGAAGGAUGUCAAUGUGAGGCGCAGGCCUAGGGGGAUCAUCGUCCUUCGGCAUACCAAGGUGGUUGCCUUCGUCGAGACCCCCUAGAUCGACGUGGAAACAUUCGCGACUUGGGCCACAGUCCUUGUCGUCAAGGCUAUGGCCACCAUCGGAGUAAUCGGAGAGGCAGUGGUCAUAUGCGGUCAUGAAGUCUUGCAUGGCGCUGGGGUUACCGAGCCCGGAGAAAUCCCAACCAGAGUCGGGCUCGUCAUCUUCCUCGGAACCCGGGGGCCCGUAGGUCGAGACAGCCGUUAGUCGGUCCCAGGUUGACCACAUAUGGUACCACGGAAGGUUAGGAUAUGCCUUUAUGAAAGCAUCCACCGAAGCGGGGUCGCUUGGUGGGUCGAAGCUGAAUCUAAAAGGCACAGGGUGGAAAACGGACGGUACCUCUUGAUUGACGAACGGUGACAAAGUCGCGUCGGGGACAGACUGCACUGUUAUCUCAGGUACGAGGCUAACGCCCAGCAAGUCCUUCGCGAGCGUGCUGGCGUCAUCCGUCCGCUUGGGGUUGGCGUGUUGCAGGGAAACGACGCUCGUCUUCGUCUCAGACGCGAGGUCAAUGCCCGACGUGUCCCCCACUGGGGCGCUGGCGUCGUCGACUCGCUCGACAGCCAACGAGGUGACACCUCCUGCUUGGCCAUGGUUGCCCCGCCUCCUCCUCCUAUGGCGGGGAAGGCGACGGGACAAACCCGGAUGCUGCUCUUCUGCCAUGGGGGAAAACAUCGUCGAUUCCGCCGCCGUCAGGCGGGCUAACGGCUGUCGUUGUCGCUGUCACGCGGCGAAGGAAGGAGUACCAUGUCGUAGCUGUCGUAGAGGGACAUGAACUCGAGACUCCCGAAACGGAGCAGCGUCCUGGGCUGGAGAGGUUGCUGGAGACUACCCAUCUGGAGCUUGACGGGAAGCUGUUCGUCAACACGCAGCAGGCCCCUACCUGGCGCGCCAACUGUCGGCGUUUCGACCCCGGGGGGUCCCUGGACCGACGAGUAAAUUGUUGCUGCGUGCCCUAGCCCAGAUGGGUCGGCGCGAGACGGAACACAAGGAGGGGAAAACUGCGGCUUCGUGUUGUCCUGCGCCCAGGGUGGAUGCGCUUGCAGUAGGAGGUUACAAGCGUUCGCGAGGGAGAGAGAGAGAGAGAGCCUGUCCGUCAGCCCGCCCUCCCGCACGGCCACCUCUUCGUACGAGGGUCCUAGACCUUCCUUUUAUAGAUGUAAGGAGAGGGUCCAGGUGUACAAUGGGGGGUGUAGCAAUAUGCUAACGUGUCCGGCAGAGAGGAGCUAGAGCCCUAUGUACAUGCCGACGUGGCUGUCGGAGAGGUGUUAGUGCCCUGUGCAUGUGAUGUCGUGGCCGUCGGAGGAGCGCUUGAGCCCUGUAGAAGCACA